UUAAGCAUAUUACUAAGCGGAGGAAAAGAAACUAACAAGGAUUCCCCUAGUAACGGCGAGUGAAGCGGGAUCAGCCCAGCACCGAAUCCCUGGUCGCUAGCGCAGCCAGGGAACUGUGGCGUUGGGGACAUCCGCUUGCUUGGCAUGCCGCGCGCUCGAGUUCUCUUGAUUGGGGCUUCGCCCAGAGUGGGUGUCAGGCCUGUACGGCGCGUUUGGCUGCUCGGCUUGAGGUGUCCCAGGAGUCGGGUUGUUUGGGAAUGCAGCCCUAAGUGGGUGGUAAACUCCAUCUAAGGCUAAAUACUGACACGAGUCCGAUAGCGGACAAGUACCGUGAGGGAAAGUUGAAAAGGACUUUGAAGAGAGAGUUCAAGAGUACGUGAAACCGUUUAGAGGCAAACGGAUGGCACCGUGCAGUUCAGCCCACGCAAUUCAGCUAUGCCGCCGCCGGGGCGCUUGGGGGAGUCGGAUCCUAACGGAACGUGCUCUCUCGGUUCUCUGCCUCGGUGCGGCGAGUGCAUUUUGCGUGCGGCCCAUGCCACGACCGCUUCGGCUCGGCGGCCAGAAGCCCUCGGGUAAGGUGACUUGCCCCUCACGGGGUGAGCGUUAUAGACCCGGGUGGUGUUGGCCCGCUGCCGGAGCGAGGUAGCUCUCGGCCGCCGCGUCGGCGCCGGGGCGUCCUUGUGGGUUCUACUGGAGUUCACUGCUGUCAGUGUUCGCCGACCGCUCGCGGGGAGGUGCUCGGAUGUUCGGCGCGGCCACAGGGUCUGUGGCGAUUCCAUCGGCAGGCUAUCCGACCCGU
rnacentral:rRNA from 1 species